rnacentral:tmRNA from 1 species
AUAGUAGAUUACUGGCUUUAUCGCGUUACAAGGUGAUGCGACGAGACAUCGCUCCAAGGAUGUUGUUCCGAAUCUAAGGGUUUAGCGGUGCAGGUAAAUCGGAAAUAGCGCUUGAAUGCCUCGUUUCAUGCGUGAAACUUUAGAGGAUAAGGUCAUAGUUGGUGGUCCGGGUCUUGCUAUGGCACGAAAAAGAAGGCCGGAAUAAACGUGUAGAAAGCGUAUGGUUUCCUUGUGCGGACGUGGGUUCGAAUCCCACCAGCUCCACUA